rnacentral:rRNA from 1 species
UACGAAGGGUGCAAGCGUUACUCGGAAUUACUGGGCGUAAAGCGUGCGUAGGUGGUUUGUUAAGUCUGAUGUGAAAGCCCUGGGCUCAACCUGGGAAUUGCAUUGGAUACUGGCAGGCUAGAGUGCGGUAGAGGAGAGUGGAAUUCCCGGUGUAGCAGUGAAAUGCGUAGAGAUCGGGAGGAACAUCAGUUGCGAAGGCGGCUCUCUGGACCAGCACUGACACUGAGGCACGGAAAGCGUGGGGAGCAAACAGG